UGAUCUGUGGCUGCUCAACAGCUGCACUGUGAAAAAACCGGCCGAAGAUCACUUCAGAAACUCCAUCAAGAAGGCCCAGGAGCAGGAUAAGAAGGUGGUGGUGGCUGGAUGUGUUCCCCAGGCCCAGCCCAGGAUGGACUACCUUAAAGGACUCAGCAUCAUCGGGGUCCAGCAGAUUGACCGUGUGGUGGAGGUGGUGGACGAGGCUGUUAAAGGUCACUCAGUGCGUCUGCUGGGGCAGAAGAAGGACAACGGGAAGCGUCUCGGCGGAGCCAGACUGGAUCUGCCCAAGAUUAGAAAGAACCCUCUGAUAGAGAUCAUUUCAAUCAAUACAGGGUA